GAUUUCUGAUUAUUUCUCAUUCACAAAUCUUGCUUUUCCACAGGAGAGGUGGUUUAGGAGCAGGAAGUUCAGCUUAUCCUCUGGCUUUGGCAUGAGAUCUUGACUGGGUCACUUUAGCCAUCAGAAUCUCUGCUUGCCUCUCUGAGCAAUAAAAAUAAUGUAGCCACACUAUAAGAUUAGAGGAUAGAUAUGAAAAGUGUAAUGCUUUCUUGAAUUGCUGUUGAACUACAAAGUACAUUUUGCUAUAAUGAUUUUGCUGUAUCUUUCACAUAAACACAGCUGUGGGUAUCCUGUACUACUAGAAAUAAUGGAUAGCAUGAAGAAAUAAAAUAUAUGAUGUCUGCAUCUUAGUCUAACCGAUAGUAACAUCUUAAUACUGGCCAUUGUGUUUUUCACUGAGCUGCAGUUGGAGGAAAACAGAACCUCUUUUCAGAUAGGAAUAAGUACAGGGAAUACCAAAAGCCAGGCAGGCCAUUCAAGGAAGGAGAGAAGACAAUGGUCUGAGAUAGCCUUCUAAGUGGCAAACUACUUCCUGAAGAGCAGAAAAUUGGAAAUAGUCCUUGUAUUAUGAUAGUGCCAUUAAGACAUCCUGUUUCUAGGCAGUUGCUGUAUCAAGGGAGUGUCUGGGGAAGGGUUACAUGUUUUGAAUCCCUGGUAUGCAGCUCAGUGCCCAGGACACACUCAGUUCUUGUUGGGAAUCUGUUGAAUGAUCAGGUGUAGCAACUCAAACUUCAGCAUUUCCUUGACAUUUAUCACAUGUAUCUGAUUCUCUCAACGAUUUUAUUUUACAGAUGGAGAAAAAUAGUCUGAGAGAGACCAGAUGACUAGGGUAUCCCUCAUUUCUGGUAUCCAGGCGUCUAGGUCUCUUAUCGCCAAGUCCAGUAGUUCUCCAGAGGAAGAGCUUCUUGCCACACUGGGGACUGGUCAGGAUGCUCCAAAAGUAACCACCCCUUUGAGGCAGUGUUUUUUCCUACAAAUUCUAGGUUUCUGAGGACUCCAGGUGAACCUACUGAAUUUAUAAUAAAGUGUCUCAGUGACAGAUAUUCUGUAGGUAUUGAAUAGCUAAUACAUAUGACUGGAAAGGGAUGGGUAAGAAAUUUAGAUAUCAUUUCCAGAUGCAGACAGUAAUCCCUAGUGUCCUUCUAUUUAUUGAUUGACAUGCGUAGCUUAAUUAGAGUAAUAGUAAAGACAGUGAUCCCAGGCCUGGCUUGUAAAAUGCUUUCACAUCCUUUUUUUUUUUUUUUUUUAAAUCCAGCAAGUCCUUACAGCUUCGUUCUAGUUCAGAAGACUAACUUGCUGCCUUUCUUUUACUGCUUUAUUCCCCCAACAUCUGGCCCAAAGCCUGACACAGGUAAGUGCUCACUAGAUGGCUGCUGAAUGUUUGAAAGUGUGAAUAACUCAAUGAUAAAGGAUAGACUAUUUGUGAUUAAAUACGUUUUGUUUCAUAAGAUGCUAAUUAAAGCAAUAAAGCAAAACAUAAAAUAGUACCACUAUCUGUAUCUUUCUUUUAGAUUUUGCUAUAGUUUGGAUGUGGUUUUCCCCCAACCCCAAGUUUCCUGUUGUAGAAGCUUAGUGCCCAGAGUGGUGAUGUGAGAGAUGGAUCUUGAAGAGGAGGGGCCCAAUUAAGGUCACUGGGGGCACACCCUCAGAUGGGAUUAAGGAAGUUCUCAUGGGGCUCUGAGUUCAGUUCGUACUUCUCAAAGGUUGAUAUAAAAGAACAAGCCUGGCUGCUCGUCCAUCUCUGGCUUCCUGUCUCACCCUGUAAUCUUUCCCUCUUGCACGCACUCUUGCCGUGACACCUUCUACCUUGGAACACAGCCACAGGAGCUAUCACCUGAGGCAGAAUCAAUGGAACCACCCUAUCUUGGACUUUCAGCCUGCAGAACCUCUCUUCCACUGUCACCCUCUAUCCUCCCCGGUUGGCUGAACCAAUGAGACCUGCCUGAUCUUGGACAGUAAACUUCCAAAACUUCCAGUGAACUUCUAAAACUCACUUGGACAGUGAGGUGAUGGUGAGAGCUUCCCAAGAAUAAGGUCCUCACCACUACAUGGGCUUCGUGAUGCACUGUAAGGUGAAUUCUUCCCUGGUGUAGCCCGAGGACAACCGAGCACUCUGUUGACAACAUGAGCAUCUUUCCUCUCUGCACUAGUAUAGUUUGUGUAACACAGUUUAAAAGAAAAUUAUUUUCAGGAGUUUGCAAGGGAGAGAUGUGUGGGCAAACAUCAUCUAAGGUAAUCCAUUAAACUGAACAUUAUAAAAAUAUUUAUUUGGAGCGAAUAGCUCUAUUGUGUCAUGUAAAAUAAAAAUUUCAUAGAACAUUUCUUCACCGCAAGCACUUUAUCUCAUCCUAAUCUUUUUCAUACCAAUGAAUUGCAAAUGAACUUCAACAAACCAGAACUCAACAGUGUCCUUGUCAUGUGCAUAAUUAAACUUGGUGGUUGUGGUUGCAGUGUUUCUUUUAAAUAACAUGGAUGAAUCGAAUAUGGUAAAAUCAUAAAAUUAGGCUCAUGUUCAAAGUAUUUAAGGUCAUAGAAACUCGAAAGUUUAAUUGCAUUAGGCAAAAAAACAAAAGCAGAUAACCUGCUUCCUAAAUAACCUCCAUCUGGAUCCUGAGCCAGAAGGAGCUUGAGUUCCGGGGCAGCCUGGAGGUAUAUGAGGGAGGCCAGGGAGGAGCAGAUGGUUUACCUGCAGACUCCAACUUUUCUUUCUCUUUCUGUAAUUCUAGUUGCCUUCUGCAUGUUUCACUGUUGUAUAGCACCUCAUUCAAGUAGGGGGACGGAUCAGUUGAAACUCAAAUCCGUUAAUGGUGUUUCCAAAUAUUAUUAGAACUUAGAACUUUCAGUGAGAGUUUUAAAAACUUGAAAAAAGUGGAAAUGCAUACAAAGUACAGUGACCUCAGUUCCCAGGCAGCAAGGGCACUUUCUGGAAGCAGGAGGGAAAACCAUUUGGCAGCACAGAUGUUUCUCCCAGUGAUUUCUUAGGACAUUGACUCAAGGGCACAGGAGAGUCCUUUUCUCUGCUCCAUUCUGUUUGGAAUCUUGCAUUCACUCUGUCAGUAUUCAGAAGAUGCCAUUGCUCACAUUCUCUUUUUAUGAGCAGACUAUUAUAGCCAUAUAUUGUUCAUUUCACUAUUUUUAUAGGAAACUGUGAAACAAGCAAAAUUCUCUGAACCAAGGAAUAAAUCCUAGGCUAACCCAUCUCUUCAUAAUAUGAAAAAAUAAAUUAAUUAAAUUGCUGUAGGGAUGCAUAUGUGUCUUGGUGGGUUUAGAAGCCAGAUGUAAAGAAUGGGAGACCACAAGUGUUUUUUCAUUUUUUACUUUUGACUUGGUUUUUUGGGGGGUUCCAAUUGUUGACAUUGUAUUUAGCCAAGAUUGUUUUGAGACAUCAAAGCUCUGAAUGAUUUAACAUUAAAUGUCAAGCCCUGGAGAUUCUAUUGUGCAUGGGCAAAACAUCAAGUCAAUUCAACAGCACUUGGAAAAUAAAAAUAAUGAAUUAAUUUCUUCUAAAACUGGUUCCCUCUAUUCCCGACUCACCCUCCCCUCCUCCACAUAGCUAAUCUCUUGUCAUAAUAGCAAUGCUACUAAAGUUACAAGAUUUAGCCCUGGAAAUUUCUGAGUUAUAAAAGAAGUCAAAAUUCAACAGUUUCUUGGUGAGUGAAAAUGUGCAUUUUUCUUUUUCUUUCUCUUGCAUGGUUCAAGAAUAGCAGAAAUCAUUCCACAAGAGUGUUCCCAACAAUGAUUUUAAAGAAAACAAAUUUUUAGUUCUCAAGCUGGGGCUAAGCCUAAAACACCAAAUUGUGAUAAACUGCCAGCCACAGAGAGGGCAGUCUCUAAAAUCUACCACUUUUCAACCACAGCUCCAUCUAGAUAAUUAGCCUGUGUGGUAACAUCCUGCCCUUUGAACACAGGCAAAGCCCAGAGUGCAACCAAACCACAGCUAUCUUGGUAUUGGAAGGUCCAUUUAUUUAAGGGAUGGAAUUUAUUUUGAGGGAGAGAGAGAUGGAUAUGCUGUCUGGGAGGAAAAAUCAUAAGGUUUUCACAGUUAAUCCAGAAAUAUUUUUCAGAGAAAAUGGAAAUGAAGAAAAGACAAAGAAUUAUGUAACAGAAGCCAGUCUUGAGGACACAUCAGUUGAGAGGAUUGGGGAUGGGUAAAGGACUUUUCUUAUUGUGAGGAAAACUCAUUAGAAGGCACAAGAAUUCACAAAAACAUAUGGAAUUUCAUUGGUAAAUAUGGUUUGUUAUUUCUUAGCACUUGCAUUGUGAAUUGGACCCUGAUUUGGCAAGGAGAGCUGGCAUAUAUCUUUUUUGUCAUGAGGUCUUUCAGGAUCUCAUUCUAGUCAACUAUAAAAUGAAGGGAAUGAAUUCAAUGGGGGAUGGAAGGUCAAGUUGAAGAGUUAGCA